CUUUUAAUGAAAGAAAUUCGUUUGUCGGAGAGAUAACUGAUGUUAAUAUGUGGGAUCGUGUUCUAAAACCCAAUGAGAUUGAGUUGAUCAGCCAGGUGUGUUACAUUGAUGGAGGGAACAUCAUUGACUGGGGAUCAACACCAUUUACAACAGGAGGGA